AACGAACGCUGGCGGCAUGCCUAACACAUGCAAGUCGAACGAGACCUUCGGGUCUAGUGGCGCACGGGUGCGUAACGCGUGGGAACCUGCCCUUAGGUUCGGAAUAACUCCCCGAAAGGGGUGCUGAUACCGGAUAAUGUCUUCGGACCAAAGAUUUAUCGCCUUUGGAUGGGCCCGCGUUGGAUUAGCUAGUUGGUAGGGUAAAAGCCUACCAAGGCGACGAUCCAUAGCUGGUCUGAGAGGAUGAUCAGCCACACUGGGACUGAGACACGGCCCAGACUCCUACGGGAGGCAGCAGUGGGGAAUAUUGGACAAUGGGCGAAAGCCUGAUCCACCAAUGCCGCGUGAGUGAUGAAGGCCUUAGGGUUGUAAAGCUCUUUUACCCGGGAUGAUAAUGACAGUACCGGGAGAAUAAGCUCCGGCUAACUCCGUG
rnacentral:rRNA from 1 species